AUCUAAUCCUUCAACCUGAAACAAAUGAACACCGCACAAAGACGGGAAAACAAAAUACACCGCACAGGGACGGCACAACAGAAUACACCGCACAAGGNNNNUUCGUUAUUUAAACAAAUUAUAAAUGAAAACCGCACAAAGACGGGAAAAUAAAAUACACCGCACAGGGACGGCACAACAGAAUACACCGCACAAGGACGGGAU
rnacentral:lncRNA from 1 species